rnacentral:rRNA from 1 species
UCCGUAGGCGGCCAUGUGUGUCGGGUGUGAAAUCCUGCAGCUCAACUGCAGAACUGCGCUCGAAACUACAUGGCUAGAGUAUUGGAGAGGUGAGCGGAAUUCCAGGUGUAGCGGUGAAAUGCGUAGAUAUCUGGAGGAACACCAACGGCGAAGGCAGCUCACUGGACAAUUACUGACGCUGAGGGACGAAAGCGUGGGGAGCGAAAG